rnacentral:misc_RNA from 1 species
GUGCAUCGAACUGUUGACGCUUCAUCCGCUUCAGUCUUACCCCAAGUGAACCUUGUGGGUUCGUAAGGUGUCCUGUGUUGGUUGCCAAAAGAAUGGCAUUUGACGGCUUCRGUACGUGCAUCCGCCUUGUGCCCGUAUAGGUGUGAGGYGGACGCUAGGCGAGCUCUGUGUUCCCGGCAUUCCAAGUGCUCCGGCAUUUGGUUGCUGCGGCCCAUGGGGUCUUUGCUUGUUCUCUCGGAUGCGGAAUGUUAAGUGUGGGCAUGCGAGGUCUCGGCCUCAACUCGUCCAGGCACAAUAUUUUCACUCGAAUGACCUCUGCGCCUGUCAUGAUCUUUCCGACCGAGGCCUCUCAAUGGGGCUUACCGGAUGAGGUGAGAACAUGCGGGUGUCAGUGUCAAAGAGGAAAGC